rnacentral:tRNA from 1 species
GCGGGUGUAGCUCAGAUGGUAGAGCGCGCGCUUAGCAUGCGGAGAGGUACCCGGGAUCGAUACCCGGCACCUCCA